rnacentral:rRNA from 1 species
UACGUAGGGGGCAAGCGUUGUCCGGAUUUAUUGGGCGUAAAGCGCUCGCAGGCGGCCUGAUGCGUCGUGCGUGAAACACCCCGGCUCAACUGGGGAGGGUCGUGCGAUACGGUCAGGCUCGAGGCCAGUAGGGGGAUGCGGAAUUCCCGGUGUAGCGGUGAAAUGCGCAGAUAUCGGGAAGAACACCCGUGGCGAAGGCGGUUCUCUGGGACGGUACUGACGCUGAGACGCGAAAGCGUGGGGAGCGAACGGG